rnacentral:lncRNA from 1 species
CCAUAAGCAUUUCUUUCUCUCUCUAACCUCCCUAAACCCCUCCCAAGUCUAGGGAGCCUCCCCAGCAUGAGAAGAAAGCCCCGAAGCGCCCGACGGCUCCGAGCAGAAAAGCUUUCGGCUCGGAAACGCUGCUCCAGCGAAGCCUGAUUUUUAAAAACCCGCUGUAAGUGAGCUACGCCUAUACUAUAUUUAAUAUAGCUUUUAUUUAAUUAUAGUAACAUUGUUAGGACCUUAAAAUAAUUAUUUGGGCUAUUGUUAAGAGUUAUAUUGAGUGUUAUUUAACGCUUAUAUAAUAGUAAUAAUAGUUAGACUAUUAAUUAGUCUCGAUGAAUAAUAGACUAAACUCGACUUGUAAUAAACAUCUUGAUUGUUUCUUCUAUGGGUCUCAAACUCGACUAGGACGAUUUCUUGGUGAGUGGACAGACCGUUGUUUUUAAUUUACACACAAAACCUUUAUUUAUUGGUUCUACUUGAUCUCAUACAGGCCCUUAUAAUUGAUGGAAAAAAUAGCUACACAUAGUUGGAAUCUGAUUUGAAGGAAAAGCUAAUGCAUGGAAGUUGUUUGAUGAAAUGUGUGAGAGAGAUCUGGUGUCUAAAACUCAAUGAUAUAUGGGUAUUUUCAUAUUGGUUUUUCUGGGUUCCUUUGGAAUUGUUUGAGCAGAUGGAAGGUGAAGGAUUUGAACUACAUGAGAAUGAAAACAUAUAUUAUGUUCUAUCAUUUUUAGACGUAAAUUAUAUUCUAUUUAACUAUAUUCAUUUGUGAAGAAAAAUAUAUUCAUUUGCGAAUAUAUGUAUUCAUUUGUGUAGAAUUGAUAAAAUUUACAUGAUUUUAUUUUCAAUUGAUGAAAAAACACUCGAUUCAUGUUUGUUUGUGUCUAGUUUUUGAAUACAAGUGUAUAUUCAUUUGUGAUUGUGAAUAUAAGUGUAUUAAAUUCGGAUGAAGUUGUAUAAGUUUUAUGAAGAAAAAAAAAUCAUUUUUGAAUACAAGUGGAUUCA